rnacentral:rRNA from 1 species
GAUGAACGCUGGCGGCGUGCCUAACACAUGCAAGUCGAGCGAGAUUAAGUGUAGUGGAGACUUCGGUCAAAGUGAAACUUAUGAAAGCGGCGGACGGGUGAGUAACGCGUGGGCAACCUGCCCCAUACAGAGGGAGAGCCACUGGAAACGGUGAUUAAUACCUCAUAAGUCAGUAGGGUCGCAUGAUUUAGCUGACAAAGAUUUAUCGGUAUGGGAUGGGCCCGCGUCUGAUUAGCUAGUUGGUGAGGUAACGGCUCACCAAGGCGACGAUCAGUAGCCGACCUGAGAGGGUGAUCGGCCACACUGGAACUGAGACACGGUCCAGACUCCUACGGGAGGCAGCAGUGGGGAAUAUUGCACAAUGGGCGCAAGCCUGAUGCAGCAACGCCGCGUGAGUGAUGAAGGCCUUCGGGUUGUAAAACUCUGUCCUAUGGGAAGAAACAAAUGACGGUACCAUGGGAGGAAGCCCCGGCUAACUACGUGCCAGCCGCCGCUGUAA